CCUACGGGAGGCAGCAGUGAGGAAUAUUGGUCAAUGGGCGCUAGCCUGAACCAGCCAAGUAGCGUGAAGGAUGACUGCCCUAUGGGUGGUAAACUUCGUUUAUAGGGGAAUAAAGUGCAGUAUGUAUACUGCUUUGCAUGUACCUUAUGAAUAAGGAUAGGCGAACUCCGUGCCAGCAGCCGCGGUAAUACGGAGGCUCCGAGCGUUAUCCGGAUUUAAGGGGUUUAACGGGAGCGUAGGCGGGUUGUUAAGUCAGUUGUGAUAGUUUGCGGCUCAACCGGAAAAUUGCCGUUGAUACUGGCAUCCUUGAGUACAGUCGAGGUAGGCGGAAUUCGUGGUGUAGCGGUGAAAUGCUUAGAUAUCACGCAGAACUCCGAUUGCGAAGGCAGCCUGCUGGACUGUACCUGACGCUGAUGCUCGAAAGUGUGGGUAUCAAACAGGAUUAGAUCCCCCAGUAGUC
rnacentral:rRNA from 1 species